UCUGCCCUUGCGGGGGAGGGGCUCUGGGAGCUGGGAUGUCUGGGGUCUCUCUCUGCCCUGGGGAGGAGGGGCACUGGGAGCCCAGGCGGCUGGGUUCUCUCUGCCCUUCGGGGGGAGGGGCACUGGGUGCCUGAAUGCCUGGGUUCUCUGCCCUUGGGGGGAAGGACACUGGGAACUGGGACACCUGGGUUCUCUCUCUGCCCUCGCGGGGGAGGGGCACUGGGAGCCCGGAUGCUUGGGUUCUCUCUCUGCCCUCGGGGGGAAGGGCACUGGGAGCCCGGAUGCCAGGGUUCUGUUUAAGGGUGACCAGAUAGCAAGUCUGAAAAAUCAAGGCAGGGGCUGGGGAGUGGGGGAAACAGGCACAUAUAUAAGGAAAAGCCCCAAAUAUUGAGACUGUCCCUAUAAAAUCAGGACAGCUGGUCACCCUAUUCUGUGCCCAGCUCUGCCUGGGAUCCCUGCACUGGAGGGAGUUUCACCCUCAACAUUUCUACAGCACAAAAGUGAUCUGGGGAGUCGUAAUAGCCUCUGGGGUUUCCAUAGGACCUUACAUAGCACAAGGAUCACUAAUGCUGUACAGACUGUUUCUACUGCGGGGGAAGGAGUGAUUCCUCACCUGCCUCUGAAGUGCAGGGGGUUAUGGCACAGAUAGGGUGACCAAAUAUCCUGAUUUUAUAGGGACAGUCCCAAUUUUGGGAUCUUUUUCUUAUAUAGACUCCUAUUACUCCCCACCCCGUGUCCCGAUUUUUCACAUUUGCUAUCUGGUCGCCCUAGGCACAGAGCACAGCAGCUGUCUAACACUGCACAGCAUCACAUAAGCAUGGCCAGAGUGGGUCAGACCAAUGGCCCAUCUGGCCCAGUAUCUAUCUAGCUCUUUUCUGAAUGCAGUUAUACUUUUGGCCUUGAUAACAUCCCCUGGCAAGGAGUUCCACAGGUUGACUGUGCUGUGUGAAAAAAUACUUCCUUCUGUUUGUUUUAAACCUCCUGCCUAUGAAUUUCAUUGGGUGACCCCUGGUUCUUGUGUUAUGAGCAAUAAAUAACACUUCCCUGUUCACUUUCUCCACACCAAUGAUGAUUUUAUAUAUUUCUAUCAUAUCCCCCCUUAGUCUCCUUUCCAAACUGAACAGUACCAGUCAUUUUAAUCUUGCCUCAUAUGGAAGCUGUUUUCCACAUCUCUAAUCAUUUUUGUUGCUGUUCUCUGUACUUUUCCCAGUUCUAAUAUAAUCUUUUUGAGAUGGGGUGAUCAGAACUGCAUGCACUGUUCAAUGUUUGGGAGUACCAUGGAUUUAUAUAGUGACAUGAUAUUUACUAUCUUGAUAUUAGGGCCCUACCAAAUUCAUGGCCAUGAAAAAUGUCACGGACCAUGAAAUCUGUAUAAUACAGGGUAGAACUACACAAAAGACCAGAUUUCAUGGGGGAGAACAGCAUCUCAGAUUGGGGGUCCUGACCCAAAAGGGAGUUGUGGGGGGCUCACAAGGUUAUUUUAGGGGAGCCAUGGUAUUGCCACCCUACUUCUGCACUGCUUUCAGAGCUGGGCAGCUGGAAACCAGCAGCUGUUGUCUGGGAGCCCAGCUCUGAAGGCAGCGCCCCACCAGCAGCAGCGCAGAAGUAAGGGUGGCAAUACCAUACCAUGCCAUUCUUACUUCUGCACUGCUCCUGGCGGUAGCUCUGCCUUCAGAGCUGGGCUCCCGGACAACAGCCGCCGCUCUCCAGCCACUCAGCUCUGAAGGCAGCGCUGCCAUCAGCAGCAGUGUAGUAAGGGUAGCAGUACCACACCCCCCAACAAUAACCUUGUGACCCACUCCCACACACACAACUCUUUUUUGGGUCAGGACCUCUACAAUUACAACACCGUGAAAUUUCAGAUUUAAAUAUCUGAAAUCAUGAAAUUUAUUAUUUUUAAAAUCCGAUGACUGUGAAAUUGACCAAAAAGGACCAUGAAUUUGGUAGGGCCCUAUUUAUUAUCUAUCCCUUUCCUGAUUCUGUUCACCUUUUUGACUGCCGCUGCACACUGAGUGGAUGUUUUCAGAGAACUAUCCAUGAUGAUGCCGAGAUUUCUUUCUUGGGUGGUAACAUUUAAUUUAGACCCCAUCAUUUUAAAUGCAUAGUUAGGAUCAUGGUUUCCAAUGUGCAUGACUUUGUAUUCAUCAACAUUGAAUUUCAUCUGCCAUUUUCUUGCCCAGUUUUGUGAGAUCCCUUUGUAACUCUUCACAGUCUGCUUUCGACUUAACUGUCUCAAGUAAUUUUGUAUCAUCUGCAAACUUUGCCACCUCACUGUUUACACUUUUUCUAGAUCAUGUAUGAAUAUGUCAAACAGCAUUGGUUCCAGUACAGAUCCUUGGGGAAUGCUACUAUUUACCUCUCCACUGCGAAAACUGACUGUUUAUUCCUCCUCUUUGUUUCCUGCUAUUUUUGUUACCAGUUUCAUAGACUCUCUAGGACUGGAAGGGACUUCGAGACCAGUUACUGGUCCAGGAUUGGAUCUUCCGUCUUAUCCCAUGACUGCUUAUUUUGCUUAUGAAUCUUUGAAACCACCACCCAACAGGUUUGGACAGGAAGUGAAGAAAUAUCCUGUAUCACUGGAAACUGCCAGGGGGAAUUGAGGGAGGCAGAAGGUAAUGACCCGAGAUAAAGGGUCUAGCAGUAACCAUCCAUCAGGAUACUGGGGUGACAGAACCGCUGCAGCCUCACCUCACCACCUAGGAUGAGGCCAUAAGAAGCUUGCACCAAGAGCUGACCUGACUCUCCUGUCAUGGUGACAGAGGACUCCCCGGGGUCAGCAAGGACUGCAGCCAAGGGGGCCCCCUGGGGCCCUGAAAGCUUUUGUCUGUUUCAAUGCCUGUGCUGAUCCAUUUCUCCCCCUUCCACAUGGAAAUCAAUACAGCCAGCCAGCCGGCAUCCGCCA